AUCAUUUUUGAAACAUUUUAUAAAUAUAUAAAAUAUGUAAUACACAUAUACAAAUAUAUAUAAAUAUGAAUAUUAACAAUCGCUAUCACUAUCAUCUUUAGUUUCAUCCUCUAUGAGAAUAUCGGCAAGCUCAUUUGGUACAUAUGGUUUUUGUAUACAUUUUGUGAUUAAAAAACUGUAACAUUUCAUCGGUUAUAAUAUAGUCAAAAUAUGGUUUUGUGAAGGAAAAAGUUGUUACGUUAAAUUCAACGUUACCAUAUUAAAGGAAAAAGGAAAGCUGGUAAUAAAGAAAACAGUGUUGCUAUUAUUAAGAUUAAGUUAAAUUAAAGUAUUAUAUAAAACGUGAUAUAAAACAUAACUUAUAUCAUAUGAUGCAAGUGUUAUAGUACGGAGUGCAAUGGGGGUCAUUUGAUAUUAUAUUAUCUCUCGUAAGGGAUUUUUCUUCUAGCAAUGUUAAUUAGGAAUGACGUUGACACUUAUUUAGGUUAAAUUUAAAAGGAGAGAUUAAAGAUACCACAUGAGAUAUUACACGUCAACAUUCGAGAUUUAUUAUUGUAUACAUUGAUCAUUGAAAACAAAAGAAUAUGAAUAUUUAUUCUUUAUUGAUACCUGUAAUAUCAAUAAUG
rnacentral:lncRNA from 1 species